GACUCGCUCGGGAAGCGCCGCCAAGGCCAAGCCCGCCUUGCGGAAGGAGGCGGACCUGCCGGCGAGGAACCCUCUGACUUUUAACUGCACUGGUUUUUCUGACUGUACACCGAUCCAUCCUAAAAAUGAAGAAAUGGAGGUGAAAACAAAGAGAAACAAAAUCGUUCGUUGCGGAGAAGUAAUUCUGAUCUGUGCCGUUUCAGCUGUGAAUACAUGAAUAGAGUGAAAUAUAAACCCGUGGAACCAAAGCUAGUGAACAUGGAGUGUAAAACGAGCAAAAUACAACACUGCAGGUUGCUACGAUCGCCCCAAAGAUGUGGCCUGGAAGAAUAAUUGGCCUUGUUCUCGGCGUCAGCGGCGUCAUG